UGAAAACCCACCAGCCACCAUACCCACUUUAUUAAAAACCCACGACCCACUCUGUUUUGCCCACAGAAAUUUUCACCAAAAAAAUUCCCGCUUUUUGGCUUAAUCUAUUGCUACCAAAACCUAAUUAAUUCAAUUUGCCUACCCUCAAAAUUUCUUGUGGAUCCCAUGGUUGCAAUCCCAAUCUCUUCAUUUGCCACGGUAUUGAUUUUUGGUCAAUAAAUUCCUGCCUAAUUUACUACGUGGAGAUUGUGUUCUUCAAACAGUCUUAAAGGUAUGCCUAUAAGCUUUGCUUUAAUCUUUGAUUAAUUUUCCAGCUUUUUUUAAUUAGAUCUGGUGUUUCUAUUGAUUUUUCUGAAAUUCGAAGAAUUUGUUAAAUAUGAACCAUUGGAUUUAUAUGACAGUUUUAAUUUGUAAUUAAUUACUCAAAUAUAUCUUUUCUUAGACAGAAUUUUUUUGUUCUUAAUGAUGCUUGAUUAAUAUAGUUUUAAUCAUUUUCUUUUGUUUCCCCAUUUUGAACCGAAUGUAGUAGCUAGGAUUGUGAAGUUUUCAUGUAAUUUUAGUCUACUUCUUUGAAGGAAAAAAAAAAUGUAGAAUUAACUGUAAAGAAAUUCUGUUUUAUUGAAAUGGGCUUGAUCAAUUGUGACAUUAUGUUUAGGGAAGUGAAAUUGGAAUUGGGAUUGUGAAAGAUUUAUUUUAAUAUUUGUUCUAAUUUUAAUUUCAAGGUGAUGAAUUCCAUUCCAUGUUCUGCUUGUAAUUCAUUUCUAUGUAAUUUACAAGUAGUAUGCUAUCAGAUUGUCUUUUUGGCUUCUGCGAAGGAUAAGCACCCUUGAUACUUUUCGUGUAUCAUGUCAAGAGGACGAGGCUCCUAACGGGGGGAGGAAAGGAGGGUGUGAGCAGGCUCUUUUCACUGUGGAAGUUGUGGGUCUCUUUGCCCUUUCCAUAUUAGUAGCAAAAAUUUCUCCUACCUUUUAGUAGCUUGCGUUGUCUUCCACACUGCUUUCUUAAGUUAGUUGUUAGACUAAGUUCACCGGCCAAGUCAUAAUUUUAGAUUCAUUUGUAGCUGACUUUAUUUCUAUCACCUUAAAUCAUCAACUCGUCCUAUGAACAAAAACUGUAAUCAUACUGGUAGGUAUGAAUCGAAGAAAAUAUUAAUUAGUAUUUUCAGGUCAAUAUAUACAUGCUAUGUAUAAUUAUAAUCUUGCUGAUUUCUGAUAACUGCGCGUGCACAUAGAGCAAUCAUAUUGGAACUGCUAUAAAUCUUCUUUGGUAUUCAAAGGCAUACGUAUGAAUGCAGUUUUCUUUUUUGAUUAUCAGAAAUCUCUUCAAUGAAAUGUUUUGGAAAGUUCAAAAGGAGAACCUUUAGGCAACCACAGCUACAAAAAAUGGGGAUCAAAGUUUCAUUGCUCAGUUGGAACUUUCGUGUGCUUCUUAAUUAUAUAUGAGAAGUGAAAUUUGAGGAACGGUUUCAGUUUUCAGCUAAAUGGUUUUUGUGAGUUGAAAAUAUAUUUUAUGAACAAGAUCCUGGUAAUAAGCUAAUUUGGUUCAUCAAGGGAAAUUAGCUAAGAAAAUGUAAAUUAAAUGUCCACUAGCACAAUACUCAUUCUGAGGAUUUCAGGAAAAUAUCUAAUGUAACUCCGUUCUAAUAUAAAUCAAAUUAGAUAAUUUCAAGUAGAAUUUUCAAUAGAUGGAUAACUCCGUUCUAAUGUAAAUCAUUCCUUAUCUUAUUUCCAAGAAUGUUUAGACAUGUUUUAAAGAGUAUGAGCUACACAUCUGAUGAGAGCAUUGUUGUGGUAACAUAACUGAAGGCAUAGCUAAUGGUGAUGGUGUUCAGUAUAGAUAAUGCAUUGUAACAGGCCCAUAUAUUUUUUUACCUAGUGUACCUCAAUAUGAAUAAUACUAAUUUGAUAUCGUUUGUGGUCUUCCCUGCUUUUUGCUGCUGCCUUCUGAGUCUUGAGCAUUUAUUUGUUACAAGCCCUGCUUUACUGGUGUAAUUUACUGGUAUUUGAAUGAUUAUUUUGGUUAGGUUCUUGAGAUAUUGAAGAAAAUGUUUGGUAUACAUUCCAAAUAGAUAACUACUUCAAGUGAGAAAAUCUAUCCAAAAGGUCAUCAAAUUCUUGGGUUACGAGAAAUGGGAUAUCUUCUUCCAAUGUACACGAUUUGGAGAAGGAGUUGGAAACAGAACGUUCUGCUCGUAAGAUAGCAAAUGCAGCUCGAGUAAACAUGGAGCAAAAUAUGUAAAACAAGCUAAAGGUUGUUGAGCAACAAUUCAAUCCUACAUUACAAUCUUGGCAUCAUUCUAUACAACAAUUAUGUGGUAAAGUUCUGGGUUUCAUUGUACCACCAUUUAUACCAUUGUCAAUAGAGAAUAAUGGAAAUGGGAAAAAUGAUGCUAUUGAGGAUGAAGAGAAUAACUUUGGUGAGAAUCAGCACGUAUCUAAUUCACGGGAAUAAAGAGUCAUGUUUUUUAACUUUAGAUAUAAUCAUACUUGGUGAAUGUCAUUUAUUUGUGUGUUGAUGAAAUAUUUUGGAUUCAAUGUUGGUUGACAUUACAUUUUAAUUGAUUUAUUAUGAUUUUUGUGUCUUUAUA
rnacentral:lncRNA from 1 species